AAGUUUUAUGCAUGGGGAUAGAUAUGCAUCUAUCUGCAGUCUUCUAUAUGUCAGCCUCCAGUGUUCACCCACUGCAGUGUUGUGCUCAAGAACACAUGGUGGCAUUUUCGUUAGCAGCUCAACCCAGCCAUUCGUCAUUAACUUCCUGCUGUCUUACCGAUACACAGACUGAUAUAUGAUUUGUGCAUCCUCCCACCAUCAUGGAUCUGGAUCCGUGAUGACUACUCAAGAGGUAUCUGCAGACUUAAUUCCUGACUAACAACUUUAAUGACCUAGAAUGCUUCAGAAUCAACACCUGCCACAGACACAGCAUCCUAACAUCCUUUGUAUCCUGUUUCACCAGUUCCCAGCUAUGUUAUCAAGAAAAGGUUAUGAUUUGGUAACGUUUAUACUAGUUCUGAGAGGAGCUGAUGUGUCUGAACUGAGAUGUCUGUUACCAUUUUAUUCCUCCUCUCUCUAUCAUAAAAUAUGUCUUCUGAGAUUAGGUCUUAUGCCAGGGCAUGCUUACUUACUUUCUGAUUUUUUAUGGGAGUAUUUUUCUUUAGUAAUUUUUUAAGAAUACUUACACAUAAGGUCAUGGUUUUUAAAGUGUUCCUUUAAUGCUAAUUAGUUAUAAAUUAUAAUCUUCAUUACUGAUAUCUACUAUUUUUUCAGGAUCUAUACUAAGUACUUAAAAUAAUGGUGUGUAUCACAUUAAAGAAAUACUAUGAAAUAUGUCACCCAAUGAAGUGAUCUGUUGGGACAAUAGAAAAGAUGCCAGAAAGUGUUUGAUUUUGUUGGCUUAAUUGCUUACUCCUGAGCAAGUUCUGCUUCACCUAGCCUUAA